rnacentral:rRNA from 1 species
UUGGCGGACGGGUGAGUAACGCGUGGGCAACCUGCCCCGUGCCGGGGGAUACCGCCUGGAAACAGGCGCUAAUACCGCAUAAGCGCAUACAGCCGCAUGGCAGUAUGCGGAAAGCUCCGGCGGCACGGGAUGGGCCCGCGCCCGAUUAGCCAGUUGGCGGGGUAACGGCCCACCAAAGCGACGAUCGGUAGCCGGCCUGAGAGGGCGGACGGCCACAUUGGGACUGAGACACGGCCCAAACUCCUACGGAAGGCAGCAG